rnacentral:rRNA from 2 species
AACGGGUGACGGCGUACCUUUUGUAUAAUGGGUCAGCGACUUACAUUCAGUGGCAAGCUUAACCGAUUAGGGAAGGCGUAGCGAAAGCGAGUCCGAACAGGGCGUUGAGUCGCUGGGUGUAGACCCGAAACCAGAUGAUCUAUCCAUGGCCAGGUUGAAGGUGCGGUAACACGUACUGGAGGACCGAACCCACUAACGUUGAAAAGUUAGGGGAUGAGCUGUGGAUAGGGGUGAAAGGCUAAACAAAUCUGGAAAUAGCUGGUUCUCUCCGAAAACUAUUUAGGUAGUGCCUCGUGUGUCACCUUCGGGGGUAGAGCACUGUCAUGGUUGGGGGGUCUAUUGCUGAUUACCCCGCCAUAGCAAACUCCGAAUACCGAAGAGUGCAAUCACGGGAGACAGACAUCGGGUGCUAACGUCCGGUGUCAAGAGGGAAACAACCCAGACCGCCAGCUAAGGUCCCCAAGAUUGGCUAAGUGGGAAACGAAGUGGGAAGGCUAAAACAGUCAGGAGGUUGGCUUAGAAGCAGCCACCCUUUAAAGAAAGCGUAAUAGCUCACUGAUCGAGUCGUCCUGCGCGGAAGAUGUAACGGGGCUAAGCCAGUCACCGAAGCUGCGGACGCACAGUAAUGUGCGUGGUAGGAGAGCGUUCUGUAAGCCUGUGAAGGUGUCUUGUAAAGGAUGCUGGAGGUAUCAGAAGUGCGAAUGCUGACAUGAGUAGCGAUAAAGGGGGUGAAAGGCCCCCUCGCCGUAAGCCCAAGGUUUCCUACGCAACGUUCAUCGGCGUAGGGUGAGUCGGCCCCUAAGGCGAGGCAGAGAUGCGUAGCUGAUGGGAAGCAGGUUAAUAUUCCUGCACCGUCGUAUGAUGCGAUGGGGGGACGGAUCGCGGAAGGUUGUCCGGGUGUUGGAAGUCCCGGUCCCUGCAUUGGAGAAGGCGCUUAGGCAAAUCCGGGCGCGNGGGCGCGGGAUUCAAGGAUGUGGGGCGAGCGGCCUAGUGCUGCGAAGCAAUUGGAAGUGGUUCCAAGAAAAGCCUCUAAGCUUCAGUCAUACGAGACCGUACCGCAAACCGACACAGGUGGGCGAGAUGAGU